AUAUUUAAUUAUGCACAAACAUUGUGCAAAGUGUAAAAGAGGCUAGGUAUUAAGUUUAUAUUCAGAAGAUUUUUUCCCUCUGUCUCUCCUCCUCUCUGUAUAUCUGAGUUUCCAAUAAAAAUGAAUAAAUCUAUUCUAUAAACAAGAAAAUAUCUUGCUUAAAAUUUAAACUCUGUAAAGACCUUUAGUUGAAUAUCCAUUGUUUUUGGAGGUCUCUGUUACAGCAAGUUACUGAACAAAUUUGUAAGUAAUAGUUUUUUUUUUUUUUUCUUUAUUGUGUUUAGCCCUACCCCAGUGAUGGGCGGGGAAGGAACAAAGAUAAGAGAUGGGGAAGGAGAGUGCAGUGAGCGACAGACAAAGAAAGAGGUGAGUGAAAGCAGAAGAAUGGGAAGGUAUAGAGGUGGGUAUUGGGAGUGCAGGGCUGCAGGCGUGGCAGAUGCAGAUGUAAGUGGACAAAGGGGAUAAAUACCACAGGACAUUGGUGAAUAGAGCUGUCAGGUAUCAUGUUAUAAAGUACAGAGGAUUUGCAGAGAAUUCAAUUUAAACCUAAAGGGCAUGAAGCUUACAGUUAUGACACUCUAAGGUGUUCAAGACCUAGGAGUGGCAGGUAUUUAAGGUGGCACAUCUGCCUUAGUGGCCACUGUCCCAUUCAGUUCUUAAAAUAAAGUAAUGAAUAGAUAGAAUUUUUUCUAAAGGUAUAGAAUAUCUAAUAAUACUGCUUAUUGAACAGAGUGAAUGAUUCUUUACAAGCAGCUGGCUUAUGUUGCAGGCGCUUGGACAAUUGACUUUAAUGAUGUGGUUUAAAGGAAAGAUUUUUAAAAUGGGUAAAUGCAAGGAUGAAUAUGGGUCCCAGUCAUGUGAGGUGUUCAAACUGUAGAUAACUUACAGUGCCAUGAGCAAGAUCUGAGAUACAUAAAAGUAGGCAUAGCCAGAGGCACAUAGGGCUGGAUACAGGAAACAGACAAAACUUGUUAGCAUAGGUUUCUGAAACACAAGAAAGAAUACAAAGCAUACCAGAUAAACUGGCACAGUAAAUGGGGCCCUGUUUUCAUUUAUAGUGAAUUCAUUUAUAGCCUCAAGUGUUUGAGUAUACUAAAAAUCAGCUAUUGUGACAAUUCAUUAACAGCUACCCAGAAUGGGGCAAGGCCACCCAGUGUCAUCCAAAGAUCCGUCUCAUCUACUUUCUUCCAUUCCUCAACCUCCCCACUGUAAUCAAUUGUCUUCAUGGGCAUGCAUCCCUCUCAAGUUUAUCCCUGAACCCACUAUAUGCUUCCACGUCUAGAGAACAGAAACACACUUUCAGUAAGUUAUAUGUUUAUGUCUCUGUGUUACAUUGUGUUGUAGGAGCUUUAUGAUGGUUUUCUUAAACUGAAACAAAGAAAUAACCAUUGGAGAAAGAAGGUAAGAUUGUCAUAACUAGACAUUGGAGCAGUUAAAUCUGAUUCAAACUUUUCCUCCAAGUUUUCUGAUAAUAUAACUAAGAUAUAUUUAUUACAUGAUUCAAAUUUAAAGUAAGAAUUUGUUAAUUA